rnacentral:rRNA from 1 species
UAUUGCUCAAUGGGGGAAACCCUGAAGCAGCAACGCCGCGUGGAGGAUGAAGGUUUUAGGAUUGUAAACUCCUUUUGUGAGAGAAGAUUAUGACGGUAUCCCACGAAUAAGCACCGGCUAACUCCGUGCCAGCAGCCGCGGUAAUACGGAGGGUGCAAGCGUUACUCGGAAUCACUGGGCGUAAAGAGCGCGUAGGCGGGUGGUCAAGUCAGAUGUGAAAUCCUGUAGCUUAACUACAGAACUGCAUUUGAAACUGAUCAUCUAGAGUAUGGGAGAGGUAGGUGGAAUUCUUGGUGUAGGGGUAAAAUCCGUAGAGAUCAAGAGGAAUACUCAUUGCGAAGGCGACCUGCUGGAACAUUACUGACGCUGAUGCGCGAAAGCGUGGGGAGCAAACAGGA